rnacentral:rRNA from 1 species
GACGAACGCUGGCGGCGUGCUUAACACAUGCAAGUCGAACGGAAAGGCCCUGCUUUUGUACGAUGCUCGAGUGCCGAACGGGUGUGUAACACGUGUGUAACCUGCCCUUUACUUUGGGAGAACUUCAGGAAACUCGGGUUAAUACCGCGUAUAAGCUCCUGCUACAUGGUGGGUGUGGGAAAGUUUCGCCGGUUGGGGAUGGACUCGCGGUUUAUCAGCUUGUUGGUGGGGUAGUGGAUUACAAAGGCUUUGACGGGUAGCCGGCCUGAGAGGGUGACCGGCCACAUUGUGCCUGAGAUAGGGACCAGAGUGCAACGGGAGGCAGCAGUGGGAAACAUUGCACAAUGGGCGGAAGGCUGAUGCAGGAACGUCGGGUGCGGGAUGACGGUCUUCGGGGUAGAAACCGCUUUAGCCUGUGACGAAGCGUGAGUGACGGUAAUGGGUAAAGAAGCAACGGCUAACUACGUG